UACGAAGGGGGCUAGCGUUGUUCGGAAUUACUGGGCGUAAAGCGUUUGUAGGCGGUUAUACAAGUCAGAUGUGAAAGCCCAGGGCUCAAACCUGGAAUUGCAUUUGAAACUGUAUAGCUAGAGAAUGUUAGAGGAAAGUGGAAUUCCUAGUGUAGGAGUGAAAUCCGUAGAGAUUAGGAGGAAUAUCGAUGGCGAAGGCAGCUUUCUGGGACAUUUCUGACGCUGAGAAACGAAAGCGUGGGUAGCAAACAGG
rnacentral:rRNA from 1 species